rnacentral:lncRNA from 10 species
ACAGUGGGAGGUUUAACCGGCAUCGUACUAGCUAAUUCAUCACUAGAUAUUGUCUUACACGACACAUAUUAUGUUGUAGGCCAUUUCCACUAUGUCCUAUCAAUAGGCGCGGUAUUUGCCAUCAUAGGAGGCUUUGUCCACUGAUUCCCCCCUAUUUUCAAGCUACACACUUAAUCAGACCUAUGCUAAAAUCCACUUCACCAUUUUAUUUAUAGGUGUUAAUUUAACUUUUUUCCACAGCACUUCCUUGGUCUAUCCAGUAUGCCUCGAUGUUACUCCGAUUAUCCUGAUGUGCACACCAUGUGAAAUAUUAUCUCAUCCAUAGGCUCAUUUAUCUCACUAACAGCAGUUAUACUAAUAAUAUUUAUAAUCUGAGAAGCCUUUCCUUCAAAAUGAAAAGUACUGACAAUUGAAUAACCAUCUACUAAUUUAGAGUGGCUUUACAGAUGUCCACCACCCUACUGCACAUUUGGAGAGCCAACUUUCGUGAA